AUUGAACGCUGGCGGCAUGCCUUACACAUGCAAGUCGAACGGCAGCACGGGAGCAAUCCUGCCGGCGAGUGGCGAACGGGUGAGUAAUACAUCGGAACGUGCCCUGUAGUGGGGGAUAACUAGUCGAAAGAUUAGCUAAUACCGCAUACGACCUGAGGGUGAAAGUGGGGGACCGCAAGGCCUCAUGCUAUAGGAGCGGCCGAUGUCUGAUUAGCUAGUUGGUGGGGUAAAGGCCUACCAAGGCGACGAUCAGUAGCUGGUCUGAGAGGACGAUCAGCCACACUGGGACUGAGACACGGCCCAGACUCCUACGGGAGGCAGCAGUGGGGAAUUUUGGACAAUGGGCGAAAGCCUGAUCCAGCAAUGCCGCGUGUGUGAAGAAGGCCUUCGGGUUGUAAAGCACUUUUGUCCGGAAAGAAAUGGCUCUGGUUAAUACCUGGGGUCGAUGACGGUACCGGAAGAAUAAGGACCGGCUAACUACGUGCCAGCAGCCGCUGUAA
rnacentral:rRNA from 1 species